rnacentral:snoRNA from 13 species
UGGCGAUGAUGAUAAAAAAGGCCGGACUUACGGCUGCUACCAGAAAACUAAUUAAUUUUUCGUGGUCGGUAGUAGAUUGAUGAACUUCUCAUAUAAAGGUGUCUGUUCUGAGCCAC